AGAAGAACACAAACUCAGCCCUUCAGCCUGACAGGUCCCUCCACCCAGAGCUCAGCACACAUCCUCAGAGCAGCCAGCAGGGAAGGGACAAGAGGAUCCCUGUGGGAUGAGACUGGAGAGAGCGAGCAGAGGAGCGGCCUCGGGCUGGAGAAAGGCAAAGGGACCAAUGUGGUGUCACCAGGGCACCUGUGAGGAACAGAAUGGACACUUGGAGGCCACAUGGAGGAAGGGGAUGCACAGCUCUGUCUGCAGCACACCUCCAGUGGGGCCUACCUGUGAAAGCUUUCCUUCACUUGUGCACUUGCUGCUGGAUCCCUGAAAAACUCCAAACUCCAUCCCACUGAUUUUCAGGUAUCUCUGAGGGCUACUGCCUGGGAUUCAGUAUCUGUGGGAGAAGAUUGCCUGGGCUUCAAUGCUGCUGAUGGAUGAUGGCCUCAGGCUGGGGAGGAGGGAAGGGAUUUGGGGUGGCUGGGACAUACCUGCAGCUGUGUGGGAGCUCUGAACUGGGAAUUGCUGUGUGAGCCCCUCUGCAAACAGCCUGUGCCUCCAUUCCCUGGUAAUGCCAGCUGCUCCUUGGGGUCCUUCUGGGCUCUUGGUGCUCUCUGUGUGGGCUGGAGCAUUUCCACAUGCCUGCUCAGAGCGGGCCCAGGAGCCACGGUGCAGGCACAGCUCCUCCUGCAGAUCCCACAGACACGAGGGGCUGCUGCCUUCAGGAGCUUUGGCUCCUCCUGCCCUGCGCUCCCAGCCAGCUGGGACACGCUGGGGGAACACCAGGGAGCACGGCUGGCAGCGAGCAGGAGACACCGAGGCCUCUGGGGCCGGAAACAGCCCCGGCCUCAGCAGCCGCCAUCGCUUUGGCCUGGCGGCGCUCACCUGCAGGAAAGGCCGCCUGCCACUCUCCAGAGGAACUUUGGCCACGGAGCAAGGUCACCCUCAGGACUUGUCUUGUUCACUUCUUCUGGGGAAGCAGAGGGACAUUGUGUGAGCACGUUUCCAGCUGCUGGGUAAAUCCUGGAAAGGGCAGAAAAAUCAGGGUCACGGGGAAGGGUUUGGUGCUGACAUGUUGAGUGCCAGCCAGUUGUGCCCUACGGCCAUUGCAGGGGCUGGUGUGUAAAGCAGCAUUAGCAGAAGGGAAGGAGCUGCAUUUGCAGAGGAGUUCUCUUACUGGCAGCAGUCAUUCCCAUCCCACACAGGGCCUUUGGAACAGCCCUGGGAUUGGCCCAGGUGUUUGGAGCAGGGUGCUGAGAUGACUGAAAUUCUGUGUUCAAUGUGCAGCUGGGCCAGUCAGUUCGCAGCGUUUGACUGCUCUGGAAAUAAAGAACAAACAGUUUUCA